UGCCUGUCACAUCUGUGAAUGUGGAAUGUGUUUUGUUGGUUGAUUGAAAAACAAGAAAACUUAAUAAAACUUUAAAUUGAAAAAAAACACCAGAAAUUAACACCAGCCACCAGUUCCCAGCCACCAGUUACCCAGCCACCAGUUACCCGCCACCAUUUACCCGCCACCAGUUACCCGCCACCAGUUACCCACCAGUUACCAGCCACCAGUUACCAGCCACCAGUUACCAGCCACCAGUUACCAGCCACCAGUUACCAGUCACCAGUCAAAUGGUGCUAGAUUCUGGCAUUGGCUGGUAGAAUGUGUAUUCUUACAGGCCACAUUGGCGGGUGGUCACACAGAGCAUUUGGGAACAGUUAAAUAUGUUUUAUCAAAGCCCACAUGUAAAAAAAAAACAUUAAAAAAAUAAAUAAAUAUAUAUUUGAGUGUGAAUGUGUGUGUAGAAUCUCAAUACCACCAUGCUGAAAGCGUAAUGAUUAUAUAAGGAUAUGCUAUAGACUGUGUGGUGUAUUGUGGAUAUGUUAUAGACUGUGUGGUAUAUUGUGUUCAUAGUGGAUAUAUUAUAGACUGUGUGGUGUAUUGUGGAUAUAUUAUAGACUGUGUGGUGUAUUGUGGAUAUAUUAUAGACUGUGUGGUGUAUUGUGGAUAUAUUAUAGACUGUGUGGUGUAUUGUGUUCAUAGUGGAUAUGUUAUACUAUGAGGUGUAUUGUGUUCAUAGUGGAUAUGUUAUAGACUGUGGUGUAUUGUGUUCAUAGUGGAUAUGUU
ensembl:lncRNA